rnacentral:rRNA from 1 species
CCCUUGUAUUUAAAGAUAAUUUAAUUAGUAUUUGUAUUGAAAUUUAAUAAUUUUGGCGGUUAAUUAUUAAUUAGAGGAGCUUGUAUUUAAUAGAAUUAGCUCUUUAUAUUUUAAGAAUAAAUAAUUUAUUCAUCUCCGUUAUUAAUUAAUAAUAUUAAAGAACAAUGUGAAUGUUAUAUUUCAGGUCAAGAUGUAGUUUUAAUUUUAUAAUAUUAGCUACAAUAAUAUAAAUUAAGUUGGACUACUAUUAGGUAUUUUGGUACAAAAUUGAAUUUAAUUGUAAUUGUAAAUACAAUAUUAUAAUGAAAUUUAAUAUUUAAUGU